rnacentral:misc_RNA from 1 species
UCCGGCUUGUCGCCGGCGGUCCCUUUAGAGUGCCCAACUAAAUGAUGGCAACUAAAGGCGAGGGUUGCGCUCGUUGCGGGACUUAACCCAACAUGUCACCACACGAGCUGACUACAGCCAUGCAGCACCUGUCUCUCAGUGGUAUUGCUACCAAAACUGUAUCUCUACAGCGGUCCGAGGAUGUCAAACCCAGGUAAGGUUCUUCGCGUUGCUUCGAAUUAAACCACAUGAUCCACCGCUUGUGCGGGCCCCCGUCAAUUCCUUUGAGUUUUAGUCUUGCGACCGUACUUCCCAGGCGGGGUACUUAUUGCGUUAGCGCCGGCUCAGUGGGGGUCAAGUCCCUCUAAGCCUAGUACCCAUCGUUUACAGCGUGGACUAC